rnacentral:rRNA from 1 species
CCCGCCAGGGGCACCGCUGGGUAGCUAUGUGCGGAAGGGAUAAGCGCUGAAAGCAUCUAAGCGUGAAGCCCCCCUCAAGAUGAGAUUUCCCAUCGCGAAAAGCGAGUAAGAUCCCUUGAAGAUGACGAGGUAGAUAGGUCCGAGGUGGAAGCGUGGUGACACGUGGAGCUGACGGAUACUAAUCGAUCGAGGACUUAACCAAG